CGCCUCCUGCCAGGAAGCAGCUCACCUGUUUUUUCGUGUUUAUUGUCCAGGUGUGGAACUUGUUGUUGGUGUGUGUGAAGAAACUACUGACUGAAGUCCGCAAGAAGAUGAUGAUGGAGGACGAGGAGAACAGAGCAGAGUCUGCAGGAGCCAGCUGUCCAUCUAUGAGGAGUGACAGGUCCAAACCUCAACCUCCAGACUUCAGUGCUGAACCUGGACAAACUAGGUUGAGGAUCUGUGGUUUGUCAGAGAUGAACUGUGAUUAUC